rnacentral:rRNA from 1 species
CCCUUAGAUGUUCUGGGCCGCACGCGCGCUACACUGAUGCAUUCAACGAGUCCAACCUUGACCGAGAGGUCCGGGUAAUCUUUGAAACUGCAUCGUGAUGGGGCUAGAUUAUUGCAAUUAUUAAUCUUCAACGAGGAAUGCCUAGUAAGCGUGAUUCAUCAAAUCGCGUUGAUUACGUCCCUGCCCUUUGUACACACCGCCCGUCGCUCCUACCGAUUGAGUGUGUUGGUGAGGAGUUUGGAUUGGCCUCGGAAGGUGGUUCGCCACCGUCCGUAGCUGAGAAGUUCUCCAAACCGCCCCACUUAGAGGAAGGUGAANUCGUAACA